GAUUUACUAUGAAAACACAGCUUAUGAGGAAAGACCCAUUACUGCUGAUGGAAUACACUUCUGAAAUAGCUACGGCUGCUGCUGCCAUGGAGCAAAUGGAGCCUUGGAACCUGCAGUCGGCAGAGGGUUUGCUGGAAAUCUGCGUUUGAAUCAUGAAAUGCACUUUUCAAUGGACGCAGCAUUCUGGUAACUGGAACAAUAACCAUUCACAAGAUGAGGGUAACUCAGAUGACUCAAUGCUUCCCGCUGAGCUGCUUUCCUUCCCUCACUUGUGCCUUCCCGUGGAGUUUUCAGCCAUCUCAGAACAGAAGCAGUGGGAACUCUCCCAGUUGGGUUGAGCUCUCUGAGCUCCCUUCCAUCAGUGCCAGCCUGGAAGGAUUUAUGAGCACUUCUCUCAGCCUGGCAUGUGGUGUGCAGAUGUCUCAAGACUGGCUCAGCUUUGAACUCCCUCUAACCAUUCAAUUUUUUCAGUUGUGCAUCACUGUUAAUUUCCUCCAACUCAUCUUCUGGGGGUGGAGGGCUGGAAAGCAGCUUCUUUUUCCCUGCUCAGAGACAGCCUCUGUGGUCCCACAGAAGGGAGAUGGCAGCGUCACUCCCUUGGGAAGGGCUGUGAGAUGGCAGCAGGAACGGUGCUGGAGUUACCCCAUUCUUGAGGGGCUCGAAGGGAAAACCUCUGCCACCUGGGAUGAGUCACAGCGAGGGACAGGAGGAGCUGAUGAGCAGCCUGCUGGCACACACAGGGCAGGCACACACAGAUCCCACCCCAGUGACACCCAAGGGAUGCGGUUCCCAGCUGGCAGAGAGGGAAACGCAGGAGCUCAAAGCCCUCUGCAAGGGCUGAGCAUCCUUUGCUGACUGUGGGAGCUGAGGGCCUUUUGCAGAUUGCUCCUUCGGGCCCUUUUUAGUUUGGGAUUUCCCUCACAUGCGCUCCAACUGCAUCCUUCUGAAGGGGCUGAGAGCCCUGCAAGGCAUGGGAUGCCAGCAGUUUUGAGAGUGCCUGGCUUGUAGACCCAGCUGGGAAAGGAUCUAAAUGGGGAGCACAUGGAGAGCUGUCCUGGAUGAGGUCAAGCAUAGCAGGUAGUGUGGGAUGGGUUUUGGAGCUUCCCAUAGGAGUUGGACUUGGUGAUUCCUAUGGGUCCCUUCCAACUUGGGGUACUGUAUGGCAAUUCAGAGGUGUGGGGUCACUCAUAGACCUGCUGAUGUCCCACAUGAACCCCCAGUGAUUGCUACAAUGGGUCAGAAAGAUCUGAGAAAGGUUCUGAAGAUAUCCAGGAGGAUGUCAAGGCGACGGCUUAGAAGAUGUGGCUGUGAGACAUGAGAUCAGCAGGGAUGGUGCCCAUCCAUUCACCCAUCAUCUCUCCAUCCAUCACAGGUUGGUGGGAUGAGGAGGCCAAUAGGAAAGCAAUGAAAGAGGAAGAGCUGGUGUAUGGAAAGUGCUUGUGCCCAUGUUAAAAACAAAAAAAACCAACAAUAUGUAUAAGGACAAAAGUGAGAUUGCACAUCUGGAUGAGUAUGAACACAGCCAUCAUCGUAAGUCAGGAGUAGAGCCAUGGAGUGGUGCUGCCACCAGGAAUCAGGGCAGGUCCCUCCCAGGUCUGAUCACACAUGGCAUUGAGUGCUGGUCCAGCGUUGGCCCUGAAAUACGUAAUAGCAGUCAGAUGGAAAUAUCCUCCAGCAUAAAGGCAGCAGUGUGUGGGGGCUCAGCUCAAAGGAAAGCCCAGACAGCAGUGCUGGAGCCAUGCAUGUGGCUCCUGGAACGUCAGCUCAUCUCCUCCAGCAGGUCUGCUGCAAACACAUGGGGACAGCUAUUGCGUGUACAGCACCAGUCUCUGGGCGCUUAUGUUAUUUGUCGGGCAGAGGGAUAAUUGACAGGUGGCUGUCUGGAAGAGAUGAAGCCCUCCAGCAAAACUCUGCAGCUCCGGCAAGAUGCGAGCGACAGAGAAAUGGCUCCAGAGGUGAUAGACUUGUUACAUCUAACACCGCCGGAGAUGGAAGGGGAAGCAGGGUUGAAUCGCAGUUCAGAACAAUCGUACCUAACUGCUGCACUAAAUAAAAGCCAUGAUUUCAUACUGGUGUCUGCGGCUGCCUCAGACUGAGCCGGGAUUAACGAG
ensembl:lncRNA